rnacentral:rRNA from 1 species
GUGACGGGCAGCUAAUACAUGCAAGUCGAACGGUGUCUUCGGACAUAGUGGCGCACGGGUGCGUAACACGUAUGCAACCUACCUUACAUUGGGGGAUAGCCUUUCGAAAGGGAGAUUAAUACCGCAUAAGACAGUAGCUGGGCAUCCAGCAGCUGUUAAAGAUUUAUCGAUGUAAGAUGGGCAUGCGUCCAAUUAGUUAGUUGGCGAGGUAAUGGCUCACCAAGACUUUGAUUGGUAGGGGAACUGAGAGGUCAAUCCCCCACACUGGCACUGAGAUACGGGCCAGACUCCUACGGGAGGCAGCAGUAGGGAAUAUUGGGCAAUGGACGCAAGUCUGACCCAGCCAUGCCGCGUGCAGGAUGAAGGCGUUAUGCGUUGUAAACUGCUUUUAUACAGGAAGAAACGACUCUUGCGAGAGGCAUUGACGGUACUGUAUGAAUAAGCACCGGCUAACUCCGUGCCAGCAGCCGCGGUAAUACGGAGGGUGCAAGCGUUGUCCGGAUUUAUUGGGUUUAAAGGGUGCGCAGGUGGUUUAUUAAGUCAGUGGUGAAAGACGGUCGCUCAACGAUUGCAGUGCCAUUGAAACUGGUAGACUUGAGUAAAGUAGAGGUGGGCGGAAUUGAUAGUGUAGCGGUGAAAUGCAUAGAUAUUAUCAAGAACUCCAAUUGCGUAGGCAGCUCACUUGGCUUUUACUGACACUCAUGCACGAAAGUGUGGGUAUCAAACAGGAUUAGAUACCCUGGUAGUCCACACUGUAAACGAUGAUAACUAGGUGUCGGCCGAAUCUGG